rnacentral:rRNA from 1 species
CAGGCAGCCGCGGUAAUACGAAGGGGGCUAGCGUUGCUCGGAAUUACUGGGCGUAAAGGGAGCGUAGGCGGACAUUUAAGUCAGGGGUGAAAUCCCGGGGCUCAACCUCGGAAUUGCCUUUGAUACUGGGUGUCUUGAGUAUGAGAGAGGUAUGUGGAACUCCGAGUGUAGAGGUGAAAUUCGUAGAUAUUCGGAAGAACACCAGUGGCGAAGGCGACAUACUGGCUCAUUACUGACGCUGAGGCUCGAAAGCGUGGGGAGCAAACAGGAUUAGAUACCCCGGUAGUCCCUGUCUCUUAUA